rnacentral:rRNA from 1 species
CCUACGGGCGACAGCAGUGAGGAAUAUUGGUCAAUGGACGAGAGUCUGAACCAGCCAAGUAGCGUGAAGGAUGACGGCCCUAUGGGUUGUAAACCUCUUUUAUAAAGGAAUAAAACGAGGUACGUGUGCCUGCUGGCAUGUACAUUAUGAAUAAGGAUCGGCUAACUCCGUGCCAGCAGCCGCGGUAAUACGGAGGAUCCGAGCGUUAUCCGGAUUUAUUGGGUGUAGAGGGAGCGCAGAUGGGUUGUUAAGUCAGUUGUGAAAGUUCGCGGCCCAACCGUAAAAUUGCAGUUGAUACUGGGAGUCUUGAGUACAGUUGAGGCAGGCGGAAUUCGUGGUGUAGCGGUGAAAUGCGUAGAUAGCAGGAAGAACCCCGGUUGCGAAGGCAGCCUGCUGAACUGUAACUGACGUUGAUGCUCGAAAGUGUGGGUAGCAAACAGGAUUAGAUACCCGUGUAGUC